rnacentral:rRNA from 1 species
GACGAACGCUGGCGGCGUGCUUAACACAUGCAAGUCGAACGGAAAGGCCCUGCUUUUGUUGGUUGCUCGAUUGGCGCACGCGUGAGUAACACGUGAGUAACCUCCCCUUGUCUUUGUGAUAACUUCAGGAAACUGGGGCUCAUACCCGAUAUGAUCUCCUGCUGCAUGGUGGUGGUUGGAAAGUUUCGGCGGUUGGGGAUGGAUUCGCGGCUUAUGCGCUUGUUGGUGUGGUAGUGGCUUACCAAGGCUUUGACGGGUAGCCGGCCUGAGAGCGUGACCGGCCACAUUGGGACUGAGAGACGGAGCAGAAUCCUACGGGAGGCAGCAGGGGGGAAUAUUGCAGAAUGGGCGGAAGCCUGAUGCAGCAACGCCGCGUGCGGGAUGACGGCCUUCGGGUUGUAAACCGCUUUCGCAGGUGACGAAGCGUGAGUGACGGUAAUGGGUAAAGAAGCACCGGCUAACUACGUG